GGUGGUGCAUGGUUGUCGUCAGCUCGUGUCGUGAGAUGUUGGGUUAAGUCCCGCAACGAGCGCAACCCUCGACCUUAGUUGCCAGCAUUCAGUUGGGCACUCUAAGGUGACUGCCGGCUAAAAGUCGGAGGAAGGUGGGGAUGACGUCAAACCAUCAUGCCCCUUAUGACCUGGGCUACACACGUGCUACAAUGGGCGGUACAAAGGGUCGCGAACCCGCGAGGGGGAGCCAAUCCCAAAAAGCCGCUCUCAGUUCGGAUUGCAGGCUGCAACUCGCCUGCAUGAAGCCGGAAUCGCUAGUAAUCGCGGAUCAGCAUGCCGCGGUCGAAUACGUUCCCGGGCCUU
rnacentral:rRNA from 1 species